CCGGCAAAGAUCAGGAGUCUCAGUCUUGCCCCGCGGACACUGGUGUGCUUGUCUGCCCGUUGUAUCCGCCCCGCGGCAUGUGACCUCCUCAAGGCUAAGAAAUGAUCGUCUACUGGAAAAUGGCAUCAUCCCACUCUGCCAGCAGAAGAUCUCAGCGAAACAGGCUACAGGUUAAAUUGGGAAUCCUUAUGGGACACCCGGGGGGAAAAUAUCCCUGAAGGCAGUUGUGAUGCGAGGAAGAAGUCCAGGAGAGAGAAAUCAGUCUAUAUUUGGAAAUCAUCUACUGAAAGAAGGUAAUAGACAACAGAACUAUCAGAGCAAAUGAGCAAUACACUUUUCUUACAAACUAACAAUACCCACCACAUACAUGUUGUGUCAAUAAUUUAUUCUUCAGUGAAAGAAAGUAACUUUAUAUUUCAGGCAUGGCAUCAACUAAGAAAUUGAUGGCAAGUUCAAGUAUGGUGCUGGAUACAAUAGUACAAAAUGGUGACGUCUGCUCUGCGACAGCAAAUGGCAAAGUAUAGUGAGAUACCAAGUCAAACAGCUUUCAACAAACUCUACACAUCACAUUCUGCACAUACUUUAACACUGAAGUCUUCUUUUGCAUUUCUAUAUAAAACCUUGUUAGUUUUUAAAAAAGAAAAUAAA